UGUAUUUGUGCAUAAGAUUGCUGG
rnacentral:piRNA from 1 species